rnacentral:lncRNA from 1 species
AAGAAAGUACCUAGGAGAGCAGGUAGUGAGAGCAGAAUUAGAGGGUACAAAGAUAAUGUCUGAUCGCUGUAAUUAUUAAUGAGAAUGCUAAUGAGACUGAAUACUAGGUCACCUUCGCAUUUCUAUUAAGAGAGCAUUUUCAGUGGCUAAAAAAUAUAUUUAUUUGGAGAAAGGCUAAAAUUACUAAAUGAGUCUGUCUUUCAUAGUUGUUUAGAAAAUAGGGGGAGAGAGAGGAUCUUAAGAAGACUGACAUAACAGAAGAAAGCUGUUCUUUUUCUGUCUGCUGCUAGAUGGAUACCUCUUUUCUCUCAGGCAGUCGCUUAUGGAAUUAUGGUUACAACAGAGGUUCAGUUUGGCUUCAGAGAUUGAAUGAUAAUGAAAUGAUACUGAAAAUACAAUGAUCAGAUAGCAAUAGAAUAAAAAGAUUAGGUUCUGAUUAAGUAUUCACUAUAGGUAUUGGUAGAAAAAGAUGGUGACUAGCUGACAACACAAAAAGUAAAAUACAUCUGUGAUGGCUGGAUCUGGGAAGCACACACAGUAAGAAAUUGACAUUAUCUGAGAUUCUUACACAUUUCCAGUAGUAGCCUUAACUAUAACAAUUAAGGAUUUAGACAGAAGCUUUUGUUUUUCCUUCAUGGUAAAAUAUGGUUUUGUGUUUGACCAUGUUAAGUGGCAGAGAAACAUCUAGUUUAAGAUAAUUGAGGUACUUUUACUAUUUAUUUAAAAUAGAAUAGAUUAAAUCAGGGUUUUAAGCUCAAGAUAGACUUAUGAUUUCAGGUAUUCAGGUGCAUAUGGGGUUGUGGUAUAAUUUGCCAAAUCUGAAAUAUUUGAUAAUGACAUCAUGUCUAGUAAGCAGAAUUUCAACAGAUUUCUGUUGAUGUCUUGAGUGAUAAUUCAAAGCACGUGGAAUAAAUUUAAAAGGG